UCGUCAAGCUGGCACGCAGCACUGUCGCUGCCCCAGCCUCAGACUCUGCCACAGUCUCUGUUCACUGUUGCUGCCUCGGCCUCGGCCUCGGCCUCGGUCUCUGCCUUAGCCUCUGCCACAGCUACAGCUACAGCCUCUGUCUCUGCCUCUUCCUCUGCCCACGCCCAGUCCAGUUGGCGUUUGCCAUUUUCUUUGCUGCCCUGCCCGCUGCGUUUGCUGACGUCGCUGCGUUGCUGAAAUGCAAAGCGACGUCAGGCAGUGGCAGUGGCAGUGGCAGCGGCAGCGGCAGCAGCUGAGCUAGAAGCAGCAACAGCAUCAUUCAGUUUCAGUCGCAAUUCAAACGCCAUCAAAAUCAAAACGAGCCCAUCAGCUGCAGCUGCUUGACGUCGCAGUUGCUGCCAGCGUCGCCGUUAACGUCGUUGUCGUCGUCGUCGCGUUUUGGUCGUUGAUACAAAAUUUUUACCUUGAGCUCAUUUCAAGUCUAAACAAACCAAGCAAAAAACAACACAAAAUUUACGUACUCACCAUACAAA